rnacentral:lncRNA from 1 species
ACAUAAGAGGGAGAGCAAUGGGGACGGGCAGGGAUGAAGCUGCGGGCUGAGGUUCCUCCACUCGGCGAAGCCCCUUCUCUCUGCCCCCGCCUGCUCUGGGCUUUCUUGGCUGUGUCUGCUCCUGACAGAAGGGAUGUGUUUUGCCAGGGUUGGGGGCUUGGCGUGUGUGCGUGUGAGAGUAUGUGUGUGUGUUUAAAAUACAAAAAAAAAAGAAGCAUGCCUAUACUCAGCCGCGAGAUGCUGGCCAGCCUCCAUCCGUGCCAACUCCCCUCCGAGCUGGCGCUGGGGACUCCGGAGGCACGGGGAGGAGGAAGGUGCGGGCAGCUUGCGGUGAGGAUGGACGCGUGCCACCGACGUAUGCCAGCGGCUGCAUGGGGCCAAACGCCCAUCCACAAAACCCACCGCGAUCGCUGGCAGCCGUGGCGGGAGGCGGCAGCAGUUGGCAGAGGUGCCAGGGAGGGCCGGCUGGGGCAGGUGGAUCCUGGCAGCGGCAGCACAGGGAUCACGUUCCAGGCCUUUCUCCAAGCCCUCCCCGCGCUGGGACGCAUUUACCCACUUGCCUGUUGACUUCUGCUCAUACCCACUCCUGGGCUGCUCAGAGCUGCUGCUCCCUGUUGAUGAGCACUGUAGGUGGCUCCGAGAUGCACGCCCGGGACCAUCCGUCUUCCUCCCCCGCCUGCCAUUCCCGCACUGACGCACGUAUGCCCUGGGUGCUAGGAGCGAGGUGCGCAUUGCACCUCACAUCCUCAUGGGCGGCUCCAGGAGCCUCACUGCAGCUGAUGAGUAUUUAACAUCAUCAUCUGUGUGGCCGUUGGGACUGGCACAGAUGCUCUGGAUGCCUCUACCUGGAAACCAGGGCUGUUCUCCCUGGAUGGCAGGAAGGGAGCAGGUGGGAGGCAGGAGGAGGUGCUUGUUCCACGGGCACUCCUGGGUUCUGAGGACCAGGCACUUCCCCGCGUGUGUCUUGCUUUGGCCAUAGGUUCUGGGCUUCUGCUUCUCCUCUGUGGGUAUGAGGGCCGCUCUGGCAUUACGUCUUCUAGACCUGCGGUUCCUUCAGAGGUAGGGCCGUGCAGUCAGACGCCUCCAGUGAAUGCUUUUGGGGUUUGGAUGGAUGGACAGAUGGACAAAUUAACAGCAUUCUGCACUUGGAAUGACAAAACUUUAGGCAAGAAAAGGGUCAUUGGAGAAUAUCUAGUCCAACACUCUAAUGGGAUAGAGAGAGAAACUGAGGCCAGCAGAAAGCAUGUCCCCUGACCCAGUCACAGCCCUUGGAUAGAGAGGGAAACUGAGGCCAGCAGAAAGGGUGUCACCUGACCCAGUCACAGCCCUUGGAUAGAGAGGGAAACUGAGGCCAGCAGAAAGGGUGUCACUGGACCCAGUCAGCCCUUGGGUAGAGAGGGAAACUGAGGCCAGCAGAAAGGAUGUCACCAGACCCAGUUGGCCCUUGGCCUAGGACCUGCAGACAGUCCACCUGCUGCUUCUGUGACCCCCACGGCCCAGACUCACACAUCUUCCUCCAGGUCAGGGAGCGAAGGGGUCUGCAGUCCUCUCCAGCUGAGGGCAGGGACAGCCUCUACGUCCUGAGACCCCAGGCCCCUGAUCUACCUGCCAGCCUGCCUGGCAAGGGCACCCCAUCAGGUUGUAUCGUAAGGCCACUGGGCUGGGUCUGACUCACCCACAAUCCAUCAGCCUGCUGGUCUUUACACAUUUCUGGGAGAGGCAAUAAUCUCUGUAGUUGCUAAAACACUUCCUCUUGGUUAUUCUGAGAACUAAAAACACACAUUAUUUGAAAGUCUUGGGUUUAGUCUAAUCUAAAUCCCUCAGGUCGUGACUUAAGCUCUGGCCUCAGAGGUCUCCAUUUAUGCUUGGAUGAGCCACUCCUUUGGGCUUUGUCCCCUCACUGGAAGGCAUGUCCACGAGGAAAUGGGGAGAAGAAUACAGAGCUAUGAACUUGGAAUUUUGGUGUCAGAAGGACCUAGGUUCAAAUUCAGGCUCUAUCACUAGCUAGGGACCUCACUUUCUUCAUCUGUAGACUGACGAUAAUAAUACUACAUACCUCAAAAGAGCUGUGCAGAUUCAAAGUGAUCCUGUGUCUAAACCCUUCUGUAUGACGUCUGGUACCAAGUCAAUGCCCAGAAAACGGG